rnacentral:rRNA from 1 species
CCUACGGGAGGCAGCAGUCGAGAAUCAUUCACAAUGGGGGAAACCCUGAUGGUGCGACGCCGCGUGGGGGAAUGAAGGUCUUCGGAUUGUAAACCCCUGUCAUGUGGGAGCAAAUUAAAAAGAUAGUACCACACGAGGAAGAGACGGCUAACUCUGUGCCAGCAGCCGCGGUAAUACAGAGGUCUCAAGCGUUGUUCGGAAUCACUGGGCGUAAAGCGUGCGUAGGCUGUUUCGUAAGUCGUGUGUGAAAGGCGCGGGCUCAACCCGCGGACGGCACAUGAUACUGCGAGACUAGAGUAAUGGAGGGGGAACCGGAAGUCGCGGUGUAGCAGUGAAAUGCGUAGAUAUCGAGAGGAACACUCGUGGCGAAGGCGGGUUCCUGGACAUUAACUGACGCUGAGGCACGAAGGCCAGGGGAGCGAAAGGGAUUAGAUACCCUUGUAGUC